UUACGGCCACAUCACGUUGAAAAACAGGUUCCCGUACGAUUACUGAAGUUAAGCAACGUCAAGCCUGGUCAGUAGCUAGAUAGGUGAUCGCCUGGGAAUACCAUGUGCUGUAAG